rnacentral:rRNA from 1 species
AUUGAACGCUGGCGGCAGGCUUAACACAUGCAAGUCGAGCGGGGGAAGGUAGCUUGCUACUGGACCUAGCGGCGGACGGGUGAGUAAUGCUUAGGAAUCUGCCUAUUAGUGAGGGACAACAUCUCGAAAGGGAUGCUAAUACCGCAUACGUCCUACGGGAGAAAGCAGGGGAUCUUCGGACCUUGAGCUAAUAGAUGAGCCUAAGUCGGAUUAGCUAGUUGGUGGGGUAAAGGCCUACCAAGGCGACGAUCUGUAGCGGGUCUGAGAGGAUGAUCCGCCACACUGGGACUGAGACACGGCCCAGACUCCUACGGGAGGCAGCAGUGGGGAAUAUUGGACAAUGGGGGGAACCCUGAUCCAGCCAUGCCGCGUGUGUGAAGAAGGCCUUAUGGUUGUAAAGCACUUUAAGCGAGGAGGAGGCUACUUUAGUUAAUACCUAGAGAUAGUGGACGUUACUCGCAGAAUAAGCACCGGCUAACUCUGUGCCAGCCGCCGCAGUAACAC